rnacentral:rRNA from 1 species
UUACCCCUAAUAUCCGCCAGGGGACUACAAGCGUUAGCUUAAAACCCAAAGGACCUGGCGGUGCCUCAUACCCACCUAGAGGAGCCUGUUCUUGAAUCGAUAAUCCCCGUUCAACCUCACCACCCCUUGUUCAACCCGCCUAUAUACCGCCGUCGUCAGCUCACCCUGUGAAGGUCUUAAAGUGAGCAAAAUGGGCACAACCCAAAACGUCAGGUCAAGGUGCAGCGUAUGCGGUGGGAAGAAAUGGGCUACAUUACCUACCCCAGGUCAUCACGGAAGGGGCUGUGAAACCAGCCCUGGAAGGUGGAUUUAGCAGUAAGAAGAAAAUAGAGAGUUC